GAUGAACGCUAGCGAUAGGCUUAACACAUGCAAGUCGAGGGGCAGCAUGGUCUUAGCUUGCUAAGACUGAUGGCGACCGGCGCACGGGUGCGUAACGCGUAUGCAACUUGCCUCACAGAGGGGGAUAACCCGUCGAAAGACGGACUAAUACCGCGUACACUCCAUCUUGGGCAUCCAAGGUAGAGGAAAUGAAAUUCGCUGUGAGAUAGGCAUGCGUCCCAUUAGCUAGUUGGUGAGGUAACGGCUCACCAAGGCGACGAUGGGUAGGGGAACUGAGAGGUUGAACCCACACACUGGUACUGAGACACGGACCAGACUCCUACGGGAGGCAGCAGUGAGGAAUAUUGGUCAAUGGGCGAGAGCCUGAACCAGCCAAGUCGCGUGAAGGAUGACUGUCUUAUGGAUUGUAAACUUCUUUUAUACGGGAAUAACAAGAGUCACGUGUGACUCCCUGCAUGUACCGUAUGAAUAAGCAUCGGCUAACUCCGUG
rnacentral:rRNA from 1 species